rnacentral:rRNA from 1 species
GGGUUGUGAGGUUAAGCGACUAAGCGUACACGGUGGAUGCCCUGGCAGUCAGAGGCGAUGAAGGACGUGCUAAUCUGCGAUAAGCGCCGGUAAGGUGAUAUGAACCGUUAUAACCGGCGAUUUCCGAAUGGGGAAACCCAGUGUGACUCGUCACACUAUCAUUAACUGAAUCCAUAGGUUAAUGAGGCGAACCGGGGGAACUGAAACAUCUAAGUACCCCGAGGAAAAGAAAUCAACCGAGAUUCCCCCAGUAGCGGCGAGCGAACGGGGAGGAGCCCAGAGCCUGAAUCAGCAUGUGUGUUAGUGGAAGCGUCUGGAAAGGCGCGCGAUACAGGGUGACAGCCCCGUACACAAAAGCGCAUGUGCUGUGAGCUCGAUGAGUAGGGCGGGACACGUGGUAUCCUGUCUGAAUAUGGGGGGACCAUCCUCCAAGGCUAAAUACUCCUGACUGACCGAUAGUGAACCAGUACCGUGAGGGAAAGGCGAAAAGAACCCCGGCGAGGGGAGUGAAAAAGAACCUGAAACCGUGUACGUACAAGCAGUGGGAGCACCCUUUGGGGUGUGACUGCGUACCUUUUGUAUAAUGGGUCAGCGACUUAUAUUCUGUAGCAAGGUUAACCGUAUAGGGGAGCCGGAGGGAAACCGAGUCUUAACCGGGCGUUAAGUUGC